ACACGACUACAUUAGAUACCCCUGUAGUCCAGGGUGUAAACGCUGCGGGCUUGGUGUUGGGGGUCCUUAGUGGGCGCCCAGUGCCGGAGAGAAGUUGUUAAGCCUGCUGCUUGGGGAGUAUGUCCGCAAGGAUGAAACUUAAAGGAAUUGGCGGGGGAGCACCACAACGGGUGGAGCUUGCGGUUUAAUUGGAUUCAACGCCGGAAAUCUUACCGGGACCGACAGCAACAUGAAGGCCAGGCUGAAGACUUUGCCGGAUUAGCUG
rnacentral:rRNA from 1 species